rnacentral:lncRNA from 11 species
GAGAAAUUGAAGGGGGAGACAUGGAGAAGCUAAUGGGGAGAUAGAAUGAGAAAGAACUGGAGGAUUUGCUCUUAAACCUGUCUGUGAUGAAGACAAAAUAAAAGAGCUACUUGCCCACAGGCUGACUCCUUAAUGAUCUGUGAAGACUAAUUCAAUCCUGUCUGACACAUUGCCUUUCAUAUGCAUGGAAUUACAGUACUAUCAUACCCAGAUGGC